rnacentral:rRNA from 1 species
UACGUAGGGGGCUAGCGUUGUUCGGAAUUACUGGGCGUAAAGCGUGCGCAGGCGGCUUUCCAAGUCAGUGGUGAAAGCCCGGAGCUCAACUCCGGAAAUGCCAUUGAAACUGUGAAGCUUGAGAACGAGAGAGGUGAGUGGAAUUCCCAGUGUAGAGGUGAAAUUCGUAGAUAUUGGGAAGAACACCAGAGGCGAAGGCGGCUCACUGGCGCGUAACUGACGCUCAGGCACGAAAGCGUGGGGAGCAAACAGG